GCAUGACGUGCUGAACUGCUAACCCAGGGCUCGGCCGGCACCGCCGCGGCCCGUGACGGGUGCCUGGCCUUCUGUCCACCGACUAACCCACUAACCAGGCCCGAGCAUGCCCUACUAACCCCCCGCGGCCGGAACCUACUAACC
rnacentral:lncRNA from 1 species